AAAAUAGGCAUUGGGGAGUCCCUCUGAGCCUUUUCUGGCUCAGGAGGUUGCCGAUAAAAUUUUAAAAAAUAAAAUAGGCAUCGGAAUCCAUGAAACGUAUGGUUUCUCUAAGGGAGGCAAGUUAGAAAUGAGCAGAAACAGAGGCAGGGGCUAGGGCUAAGGGCCUGGCUUGUGGAGUCUGAAGAUGAGUCAGUAAAAAAGCUGCUUGAGACACCAGAGAGGAACUGAGAAUGAAUAAUAUCCUUGAAGAAGAGAGAACCAUUGUUUCAAGAGGAGGAUGAAGAUGCAAAUAGUCAGAGGAGUCACCUGGCUUGCUUAGUGACCAUCAGACGAGACCAGACCUCUCACUUGGAUAUUCUGAUUCAGUAGGUGUGAGUUGGAGCCAGGAAUCUCUACAAACUCAUUCCAGGCUGAUACCAUGUUAAAGAUGGGUUUUCAACAACAAGUGCUUGACAUUUUGGAAAACAUUCCUAAUGAUUGUCAGACCAUUUUGGUUUCAGCCACAAUUCCAACUAGCAUAGAACAGCUAGCAAGCCAGCUUCUGCAUAAUCCUGUGAGAAUUAUCACUGGAGAAAAGAACCUACCUUGUGCCAAUGUACGUCAGAUUAUUUUGUGGGUAGAAGACCCAGCCAAAAAGAAAAAA
rnacentral:lncRNA from 10 species